GACUACCGGGGUAUCUAAGCCCGUUCGCUCCCCUAGCUUUCGCCUCUCAGCGUCAGGUGCAGACCAGAAAGCCGCCUUCGCCACCGGUGUUCCUCCUAGUAUCUGAGCAUUCCACCGCUACACUAGGAAUUCCGCUUUCCUCUCCUGCCCUCAAGUUGCCUAGUUUUGAACGUCCUCCCCUAGUUAAGCCAGAGAUUGUCACGCCCAACUUGAGCAACCGCCUACUUGCCCUUUACGCCCAGUGAAUCCGGAUAACGCUCGUCUCCUACGUGUUACCGCGGCUGCUGGCACGUAGUUAGCCGAGACUUGUUCCUGUGGUACCGUCCUUCCUCGUCCCACAGAAAAGAGCUUUACAACCCGAAGGCCUUCUUCGCUCACGCGGCGUUGCUGCAUCAGGGUUCCCCCCAUUGUGCAAUAUCCCUUACUGCAGCCACCCGUAGG
rnacentral:rRNA from 1 species